AUCUAUUGCCUGAGAGCACAGCAGGAGGGACAAGGAUCGGGAUAUAAACCCAGGCAUUCGAGCCGGCAACAGCAACCCCCUUUGGGUCCCCUCCUUCCUAUGGGAGCUUUGUUUUCACUCUAUUUCACUCUAUUAAAUCUUGCACUGCACUCUUCUCGUCCAUGUUUGUUACGGCUCGAGCUGAGCUUUUCGCUCGCCGUCCACCACUGCUGUUUGCCACUGUCGUAGACCCGCCCCUGACUCCCAUCCCGCCACUGACUCCCAUCCCUCCAGAUCCGGCAGGGUGUCCGCUGUGCUCCUGAUCCAGCAAGACUCCGGUUGCCACUCCUGAUUUUGCUAAAGGCUUGCCAUUGUUCCUGCACGGCUAAGUGCCUGGGUUCGUCCUAAUUGAGCUGAACACUAGUCACUGGGUUCCACGGUUCUCUUCCAUGACCCACAGCUUCUAAUAGAGCUAUAACACUCACUGCAUGAUCCAAGAUUCCAUUCCUUGGAAUCCGUGAGGCCAAGAAUCCCGGGUCAGAGAACACAAAGCUUGCCACCAUCUUGGAAGCGGCCCACCACCAUCUUGGAAGCGGCUUGCCACCAUCUUGGGAACUCUGUGAGCAAGGGCCUCAGGUAACAUUUUGGUGACCACGAAGUGACCUCCAAAGCGAUGCGGAGUCUCACUGUGUUGCAAAUUCCUGACCUCAAGUGAUCUUCCUGCCUGGGCCUCAAAGUGCGGGGAUUAUACGCAGGGGCCACUGCUUUCAGCCUUUAAAUUCUGUUAAAAACAGCGUUGGUGAGAAAGAAAAUGUCUACUUCCUGAGAAAGACUGAUAAGAAUCUAAAAGGCAUAAUUUUCUCAUAAAAGGGCAGCUGCAUAUGUUGGCAUGAUUGAUGAGAUCUGCUACAGUCAAGCAAGCAGCCCUGGGUGACCAGUUUACCCUUCCCUGCGAGGGUUCCAGCUGCCAGUUGCCCCCAUUCUGUGACAGCUUCUCCUUCUCCUCACCUUGUCAUCCAGCCAAGAUUGUACACUGUAGGAGUACAGGCUUAUAGGCAGAAGAGAUUUGCCUUGUCUCAGAUGAGACUUUGGACUUGGACUUUUGAGUUAAUGCUGGAAUGAGGUAAGACUUUGGGGGACUGUUGAAAGGUUAUGAUUGUGUUUUAAAAUGUGAGAACAUGAAAUUUGGGAGGGGCCAAAGGUUGAAUGAUAGGGUUUGGCUGUGUCUCCACCCAAAUUUCAUCUUGACUUGUACUUCUCAUAAUCCCCAUAUAUCAUGGAGGGACCCAGUGGGAGGUAAUUGAAUCAUGGGGGAAGUUACCCUCAUACUGUUCUUGUGAUAGUGAGUUCUCAUGAGAGUGGAUGGUUUUCUUAAGGGCUUUUCCCCUUUAGGCUCUGCCCUUCUUCUUCCUGCCACCAUGUGAAGAAGGACAUGUUUGCUUCCCCUUCUGCUGUAAUUGUAAGUUUCUUGAGGCCUCCCAGCCAUGCUGAACUGUGAGUCAAACCUCUUUCCCUUAUAAAUUACCCAGUCUCAGGUACGUCUGUAUUGGCAAUGUGAGAACAGACUAAUACAAUGUGUUAUCUAUUCUCAUUGAGAAUCUCAUUCUUGGUACACUUUGCAUGCUUAUCUAUUUUACACAUAUUUUUCUUGCUAUCUCACUAUCUUGAGUCAUAAAAGUGUGCAUAAUGAGAAUAAUUACUUUUAAGCUUGUGUGUCCUUCAUUUCACAGUACAUUUAAAAUAUCCAGUCUGUAAAAGGUUCAGAGUAACUUCCCUUUUUUCCUGAAAUAACUACCAAUUCAACAAGGUGUUUAUUGGUGGCAGCAUGGUCCAUUAACACAAUCCCUCAGGACUUGCACUACUAUGAUGAACAGAUUCUGCUAUGGAAGUAACAUCCCUGGCAAUAAAAAUAUACUCUCUUUUCAGAGCCAUUACCUUCAGCAAUUAAAUCUCCUAAAAGUGGAAAACAUAUUCUUGAAAAUUGCUGAGAGUAGAUUUUGUGUUCUCACCACAAAAAAAGGAUAAGUGUGUGAGGUAAUGUAUAUGUUUAUUAGCUUGAUUUAGCCAUUUUACACAUCUUUCAAAACAGUCUGUACACAAUAGGUAUAGGUAAUUUCAUUUGACAACUAAAUAUAUUAUUAAAGUAGAAAACAUUUUUAAGUCUUUUCACUAGGUCAUCUCAUUGGAAAAUAAUAUUUGUCUUUCUAUGCCUGGCUUAUUCCACUUAGCAUAGUGUAUCUCAAGUUCAUCAUACUGUAUGACCUCACUUAUAUGUGAAAUCUAAAAAUGUGCAACUUAUAAAAGCAGUGUGGAAUGGUUGUUGUCGGGAACUGGAGGUCGGAGAAAUGGGGAAAUGUUUGUUGAAGGCUAUAAACUUUCAGUUAUAAAAUGAAUAAGUUCUGAAGACCUAAUGUGUAGCAUGGUGAAUAUAGUUAAGAAUACUGUUACUUAAAAUAUGCUAAGAGAGUAGAUCUCACAUGUCUUCACCAUAGACAUACACACAUACAAAAAUAGUAACUGUGUGUGGUGUUGGAUAUGUUAAUUAAUUUGUUUGGGAUAAUCAUUUCACAAUGUAUACAUUGUAUACAUACAUCAAAUCAUCAUGUUGUACACCUUGAAUAUAAACCGUUUUUGUCAAUUAUACCUCACUAAAAUUGGAGAAAAAUGAAGUGUAAAUAAGGCAGUGACAGUGGGAUAUUUUUGCUUCCUUACAAAUAACUUUCUAAUCUGACUUGCACUUUGAAGUUAGGUUGUUCCACCAAAGUAAUUUUGUUCUUUUAAGAAUUCCCUAAUAUUAACAUUUUCAGUUUUAAAAUGCUUGUUUUGUAAUUUUAAAACCUCAUUUAUUACUUCUGUUGAUAAUACUGUAUAAAACUGCAUGUCUCACCAUAGCUGCCAUCAGUAAAAAUUAAACUUCUUCAGGUUAACUGCUGAGAGGUCACAAAAGUAAAGAUUUGAUAGAAUACAAAGAGAAAGUUAAAGGAGAAAUUAUGGGAAAACAUAAGGUUGUGGCAUGAUGGCCACCUGCGGUGCAAUGGACAGAGACAAAACCUAGAUUCUUUCCAAGAUGAAAUUUAACAAACGAUAUAGCCCCUCACCCUUACACCCACAACACAUACACACACACACACACACACACACACACACACACACACAGAUACAUACACACACACACAGUGCUGUAAUCAAUAUGGUCUACAAAAUAAAAGUGGGCAAAAAAUAAACUAUUUUUCAAAGAGAAGACAUAACAAAACCUAUGUAUUUGACUUUUUAGUACUGAGAAGGGGGAGAAAAGAAAUACAUUCACCUUGAGAUGUGUAAUACCUAGUGGACCAUAUAUGAUUUUUGUAGUCCAAAAUUUCUAGACUUUGUAGAAAAAAAUGUACAUACCCAGAAAAAUCUAAAUAAACCCAAACUUAUAAAAAUACAAUUAUUUUCAAGGUGAAAAUUUAAUUGCAGUUCUCUAAAGCAAUACUCUUGAAUAACUAAUGGCUACAAAGACAAAUCCUCUCUGAAAGAAUGUAACUUAACUCUUGUAUCACAGUAAUUCCAAAAAUUCCAAGAAAACAAGUUAUGUAAAAUAAAAAACAAAAUCAUAAACCAUGUAGAAUAAUGUACCAAAAAUGAAGGUCAGGGCAAAAAAAAAGGCAAUAAGUUGAGUCAAAAUUGUUAGACACUAAAAUAAUCAGAUAUAGAGUACAAAGUACAUAUAUUUAAUACAUAUAAAGAUAACAGAACAUAAUAUAAGCUAAGAAGAGAAUUCUACAUGAAAAGUGGUAAAAUACUUUGGGGGAAGAAACCCAAUUUAGAAAAGAAAAUAUAAUGAUUCGAUAAUCAUUCAAUUGGUGGAUCAUACAGUCGAAAUUAAAACGUGUAAUAACAUUCUAUGUUGUUAAAAGCAUGUAAUUGAGGGAUUGGAAUAUACAUAAGAAAAGGGACAAUGGUAACUAGGAAACUGGUGGGCUAAAGCUGAAGGGGGGAUGAUGUCGAGAUCUGAAGAAAUUAUCUUUUAUGCCACUCAGAGAGAGGAAAAAAAGAGAAGACAAUAUGAAUAAUAAUAUGAAAAAGAGAUGGUGAAAUGAAAGUUAGAAUGGGAAGAUGUAAUAUAUAAUUUAUUGAAGUUGUAUACAAACAAAAGUAAGAAUGGGAAAGCAGAAAUAUCUAAUGAGAUAAUAGAUAAGAAUUUGACAAGAUUAUUCAAAGAUGUCAUAGACCUAAGAAUUUUAUCAAAACUUAUAGGAUAAGCAAAUAUCCUAUAAGUUGUUUAAAAUAUAGAUACAUCAUUGAAACUAAAUACUAUAAAGAGAAUAAGAUAUUAAAAUCAGUUAAAGUGGGAACAAUGAUCUACAAUGGGUUUACAAUUAAAAUUAUAACACAUUUUUUAAUAGCACAAUAGAGGCCAGAAGACAAAAAAUAAUGUUUGAAGUUCUAAGAGAAAAUGGUCUCCAAUUUUCAAUUUUAUAGAGGGCUAAAUUAUCCUAUCUGGUCUGGUGCAGUGGUUCACGCCUGUGGUCUCAGCACUUUGGGAGGCCAAGGCAAGCAGAUCAUUUGAGGUCAGGAGUUCAAGACCAGCCUGGCCAACAUGAUGAACACUGUUUACUAAAAAUACAAUAAAUAGCCCCCUGUAGUGAUAUGUGCCUGUAGUUCCAGGUACCUGGGAGGCUGAGGCAGGAGAAUUGCUUGAACCCGGGAGGCGGAGGUUACAGUGAGCAGAGAUUGCACCACUGCACUCCAGCCUGGAUGACAAAGCAAUACUUCAUUUCAAAAAAAAAAAAAAAAA
rnacentral:lncRNA from 1 species